CCCAAUUUUUCUCUCUGUCUUCCUCCACCACGGCGGUCCAAUCGGCCGGCGCCUCCGUCCGCCGUCUUGCUCCCCCGCCGCCGGCGCCAGUCUCGCCAUAUGAACCGCCGACCUGAGACACAGUGCCGCCCCCACCCCCCACACCCCCGACUCUUCCCCAGACACACUACACACCGUCGCCGAUUAAAAGGAGCCGCCUCCCCACGCUCCCGGCGGCGUGAUAGAGAGAAGCGAGCAAGCGAGAGCGCCAACUUCUUCGAGUUUGUGCGAUGGUGGAGAAGGCUGCGGAAAAAUGGGCGCAACUUCCUAAGUCCCUAACACUUGUUGGUGCUCUUCAGUUCUGGUGAUCUCAAAAUCCACUUGUUGCCCUCAAAAUCCAAAUCAAUCCGUUUACAGUUACUGUUAGUAGCUGUUGUCAGUUAGCUUAUCUUCCACUAUGCUGGACUGAAGAUUGCCAGACGGCUGCCGGGGUUGAUGGGGGCGGCAUCCACAAUCGAUUGCGCUUGUGCAGUACCGUUCCGCAUACAAACGAUGCCCACCUGCCGAUUCAUCAGAUGAUAUCAAUGUUUCCAGGAGAAGACCUUGGUUCUUUUGGAAAUAGUUCCUCCGUAGUUGCUUUUGAACAUUCUUUUUCCACCUGCGAGUGAAAAGUACUGCACUGGAGCUCAAGAGUAGAACGCCGAAACCACAGGACAGCCCAAUAAUUAUACCUGCAG